GAUGAACGCUGGCGGCGUGCCUAAUACAUGCAAGUCGAGCGAACGGACGAGAAGCUUGCUUCUCUGAUGUUAGCGGCGGACGGGUGAGUAACACGUGGAUAACCUACCUAUAAGACUGGGAUAACUUCGGGAAACCGGAGCUAACACCGGAUAAUAUUUUGAACCGCAUGGUUCAUAAGUGAAAGACGGUCUUGCUGUCACUUAUAGAUGGAUCCGCGCUGCAUUAGCUAGUUGGUAAGGUAACGGCUUACCAAGGCAACGAUGCAUAGCCGACCUGAGAGGGUGAUCGGCCACACUGGAACUGAGACACGGUCCAGACUCCUACGGGAGGCAGCAGUAGGGAAUCUUCCGCAAUGGGCGAAAGCCUGACGGAGCAACGCCGCGUGAGUGAUGAAGGUCUUCGGAUCGUAAAACUCUGUUAUUAGGGAAGAACAUAUGUGUAAGUAACUGUGCACAUCUUGACGGUACCUAAUCAGAAAGCCACGGCUAACUACGUG
rnacentral:rRNA from 1 species